CGACGACCGAACCUAUUAAUAACAAAAUUACUGUAAUCUGGAUACCUUCACAAAAUUCACACUCCUGGAAGAAAUCCAACGAUAAAUAUACGAAGUUACAAAAUAACUGCUCAGCUGUGUCAAGAACAGGGCCAUCUGUUUAUAGUAGGUUAGGAAAUUUGGAACUAUUUGUCGCGAUAUCAUCACCUUGAAGGCAGAAAAUGUCGAAGUUAAUAAAAUUUCGGUUUGUUUGUCUAUGAAUUUAUUUCUAAUAAAUCCAUAAAAAGAAAACUAAUUGAAUCAUAUUAAAUAUUAAUGUAUGUGAUACGACACAGUUUCCAUAAUUGGACUACAGCUACUUGACACAGGCACUUGAGAUAGGACUACGCUAUCAAAGAAGAUAGACAUUAAGUAGCAGAUGCGUCAUAGUCACUCACCAUCACAGACUGUCAACCGUAGGUAGAAACACGAAUAUAAGAGUGAGUCCAAAGAUACCUGUCCAGUACUAAGGCCAGCAGCAUGACUGACGGUAUCUCGGUGGCGGAGGUCAAAGUGAAGGUCACGAAAAAGUCCAACCCGAGGCCUUCCGACAUACGGACCAGCCCGUCGAAGACCAGCGCGCAUGUCAUGUACACUAUAACCAUCCGAGCGAGGAGACCUCGGAGAGCUGAACUCUUGAAGACAUCCAUUAUAGACUCUUUUGUGCGGCGAGUCUGACUGGCUGAGACCUACAGAGCAAAAAUAUAAUGGCUUCCUCACAUAAAAGCACCCGAGAAUAGUUACUUAUACCAAGAUAGGCCAUCAUGUUUUACUAAUGGUAAUUUUUAGAUGGACAAGGUUGUGUAUGAGAAUAAAGUAACUGUAUUUUG